rnacentral:rRNA from 1 species
UUGGACUCAACGCCGGAAAACUCACCGGGGGCGACAGCAAUAUGUAGGUCAAGCUAAAGACUUUACCAGAAUCGCUGAGAGGAGGUGCAUGGCCGUCGUCAGUUCGUACUGUGAAGCAUCCUGUUAAGUCAGGCAACGAGCGAGACCCGUGCCCACUGUUGCCAGCAUGUCCUUCGGGAUGAUGGAUACUCUGUGGGGACCGCCGAUGCUAAAUCGGAGGAAGGUGCGGGCUACGGUAGGUCAGUAUGCCCCGAAUCUCCCGGGCUACACGCGGGCUACAAUGACUGGGACAAUGGGCUCCUACCCCGAAAGGGGAAGGAAAUCUCUUAAAGCCAAUCGUAGUUCGGAUUGAGGGCUGCAACUCGCCCUCAUGAAGCUGGAAUCCGUAGUAAUCGCGUUUCAACAGAACGCGGUGAAUACGUCCCUGCUCCUU